rnacentral:ncRNA from 1 species
UAACUUGCGGCGGCCAAGCGUUCGCAGCGACGUCGCUUUUUGAUCCUUCGAUGUCGGCUCUUCCUAACAUUGCGAAGCAGAAUUCGCAAAGCGUUGGAUUGUUCACCCAAAAUUCAAAUAGAAAAAUCCGUUGAGAUCUCUUUCAGAAAAUACAUGCAUGUCAUAUGUUCCUGUUAUGCGAUAAAACAGAUC